ACUGAUCAGAAACUUUGUCUCCGGUGUGAAUUACUUCUAGGAAAAGCGUGCACGCAUUAAUUAAUCAAUUUGGAAGGAGUAGAUAGACAAAUAAUCAAAGUUUUCUUUGGUAUCUAAAUCAGUUGGUGCCUGAACAGGAACGAGAGGGUUGUUGACAUUCUGCUCGAAGCCGUAAAAUCCCAGGACCGGAGAGGAGACCCCCAGGAGACCAGUGGACUUCGUUUAUUCUCCGUUCCUUCACUCGGCUUCCUGUGGUUAACGUCAGACAGGUAUAUAGUAUGCCCACAUGUCCCCUUUAUUUGAAUAGAACAUGUCAAUUUGUCUAUCUACGUCCUGUGUGUGAGUUUUAUGUGUGAAAGUGUCUGUUUGAGAAUCUGUUUUACUACUUGCUUAAUACUGUUAUAUAAUACUGCCAAGUGCGGUUCAGCGCUGGCAUAUUUAUCCAAGUUCGGGUU